rnacentral:rRNA from 2 species
GACGAACGCUGGCGGCGUGCCUAAUACAUGCAAGUCGAACGAACUCUGGUAUUGAUUGGUGCUUGCAUCAUGAUUUACAUUUGAGUGAGUGGCGAACUGGUGAGUAACACGUGGGAAACCUGCCCAGAAGCGGGGGAUAACACCUGGAAACAGAUGCUAAUACCGCAUAACAACUUGGACCGCAUGGUCCGAGUUUGAAAGAUGGCUUCGGCUAUCACUUUUGGAUGGUCCCGCGGCGUAUUAGCUAGAUGGUGGGGUAACGGCUCACCAUGGCAAUGAUACGUAGCCGACCUGAGAGGGUAAUCGGCCACAUUGGGACUGAGACACGGCCCAAACUCCUACGGGAGGCAGCAGUAGGGAAUCUUCCACAAUGGACGAAAGUCUGAUGGAGCAACGCCGCGUGAGUGAAGAAGGGUUUCGGCUCGUAAAACUCUGUUGUUAAAGAAGAACAUAUCUGAGAGUAACUGUUCAGGUAUUGACGGUAUUUAACCAGAAAGCCACGGCUAACUACGUGCCAGCAGCCGCGGUAAUACGUAGGUGGCAAGCGUUGUCCGGAUUUAUUGGGCGUAAAGCGAGCGCAGGCGGUUUUUUAAGUCUGAUGUGAAAGCCUUCGGCUCAACCGAAGAAGUGCAUCGGAAACUGGGAAACUUGAGUGCAGAAGAGGACAGUGGAACUCCAUGUGUAGCGGUGAAAUGCGUAGAUAUAUGGAAGAACACCAGUGGCGAAGGCGGCUGUCUGGUCUGUAACUGACGCUGAGGCUCGAAAGUAUGGGUAGCAAACAGGAUUAGAUACCCUGGUAGUCCAUACCGUAAACGAUGAAUGCUAAGUGUUGGAGGGUUUCCGCCCUUCAGUGCUGCAGCUAACGCAUUAAGCGUUCCGCCUGGGGAGUACGGCCGCAAGGCUGAAACUCAAAGGAAUUGACGGGGGCCCGCACAAGCGGUGGAGCAUGUGGUUUAAUUCGAAGCUACGCGAAGAACCUUACCAGGUCUUGACAUACUAUGCAAAUCUAAGAGAUUAGACGUUCCCUUCGGGGACAUGGAUACAGGUGGUGCAUGGUUGUCGUCAGCUCGUGUCGUGAGAUGUUGGGUUAAGUCCCGCAACGAGCGCAACCCUUAUUAUCAGUUGCCAGCAUUAAGUUGGGCACUCUGGUGAGACUGCCGGUGACAAACCGGAGGAAGGUGGGGAUGACGUCAAAUCAUCAUGCCCCUUAUGACCUGGGCUACACACGUGCUACAAUGGAUGGUACAACGAGUUGCGAACUCGCGAGAGUAAGCUAAUCUCUUAAAGCCAUUCUCAGUUCGGAUUGUAGGCUGCAACUCGCCUACAUGAAGUCGGAAUCGCUAGUAAUCGCGGAUCAGCAUGCCGCGGUGAAUACGUUCCCGGGCCUUGUACACACCGCCCGUCACACCAUGAGAGUUUGUAACACCCAAAGUCGGUGGGGUAACCUUUUAGGAACCAGCCGCCUAAGGUGGGACAGAUGAUUAGGGUG